UACGUAGGUGGCAAGCGUUGUCCGGAUUUAUUGGGUUUAAAGGGUGCGUAGGCGGUUCUAUAAGUCAGUGGUGAAAUCCGGCAGCUCAACUGUCGAUGUGCCAUUGAUACUGCAGAACUUGAGUACUGAUGAGGUAGGCGGAAUUGACGGUGUAGCGGUGAAAUGCUUAGAUAUCGUCAAGAACACCGAUAGCGAAGGCAGCUUACUAAAGAGUAACUGACGCUGAGGCACGAAAGUGUGGGGAUCAAACAGG
rnacentral:rRNA from 1 species